rnacentral:rRNA from 1 species
UACGUAGGGCGCAAGCGUUGUCCGGAAUUAUUGGGCGUAAAGAGCUCGUAGGCGGUCUGUCGCGUCGGAUGUGAAAGCCCCGGGGGCUUAACCCCCGGGUCUGCAUUCGAUACGGGCAGACUAGAGUGUGGUAGGGGGAGAUCGGAAUUCCUGGUGUAGCGGUGAAAUGCGCAGAUAUCAGGAGGAACACCGGUGGCGAAGGCGGAUCUCUGGGCCAUUACUGACGCUGAGGAGCGAAAGCGUGGGGAGCGAACAGG